rnacentral:rRNA from 1 species
AUUGAACGCUGGCGGCAGGCCUAACACAUGCAAGUCGAACGAGUGGCGGACGGGUGAGUAAUGUGUGGGAAUCUCCCUUAUGGAGGGGGAUAACUUCGAGAAACUGUAGCUAAUACCGCAUAACCUGAGAUGACCCCAUGUGGGAUUAGAUAGUGGGUGGGGAAAAGGCUCACCAAGCCGACGAUCUCUAGCUGGUCUGAGAGGAUGACCAGCCACACUGGGACUGAGACACGGUCCAGACUCCUACGGGAGGCAGCAGUGGGGAAUAUUGCACAAUGGGCGCAACCCUGAUGCAGCCAUGCCGCGUGAAUGAAGAAGGCCUUCGGGUUGUAAAGUACUUUCAGUGGGGAGGCGUUACCCACAGAAGAAGCACCGGCUAACUCCGUGCCAGUAGCCGCGGUAAUUC